UGUGUCAUGUUGUCCGGGGCACUUUGGGAGAGGCAGCCACUGGAAGAUCUGGACGAUAUUCCCAAUUACAAUCAGUAGGUCUAUUGCGGCGAACAACUUGAACAUUCAAGAAUAGUCGGAAAUUUCCUUGCGAACAGCUAUUUUUUGAAGUCACCUAGUCUAAACAAGUUUGAGUUCAGUCGAGCUCAACCCGCCAGAUCAUCGACACUUAGACUAACACUCCUUGAGAGGACCCUAACGCACACUCACUCAUGAAGACCUUGUGGCUCUGAAUCAACAGGCACUGCAGGACUGAAAAUCUGCUCAACACCAUAAGAAGAGAGGAGCCAGAUCAUCGACACUUAGACUAACACUCCUUGAGAGGACCCUAACGCACACUCACUCAUAAAGACCUCAUGGCUCUGAAUCAA